CACUGUCACUCCUACGGGAGGCAGCAGGUGGGGAAUAUUGCACAAUGGGCGCAAGCCUGAUGCAGCCAUGCCGCGUGUAUGAAGAAGGCCUUCGGGUUGUAAAGUACUUUCAGUCGUGAGGAAGGCGGCGUCGUUAAUAGCGGCGUUGUUUGACGUUAGCGACAGAAGAAGCACCGGCUAACUCCGUGCCAGCAGCCGCGGUAAUACGGAGGGUGCGAGCGUUAAUCGGAAUUACUGGGCGUAAAGCGCAUGCAGGUGGUUUGUUAAGUCAGAUGUGAAAGCCCCGGGGCUCAACCUCGGAAUUGCAUUUGAAACUGGCAGACUAGAGUACUGUAGAGGGGGUAGAAUUUCAGGUGUAGCGGUGAAAUGCGUAGAGAUCUGAAGGAAUACCGGUGGCGAAGGCGGCCCCCUGGACAGAUACUGACACUCAGAUGCGAAAGCGUGGGGAGCAAACAGGAUUAGAUACCCUGGUAG
rnacentral:rRNA from 1 species